ACGGGGUGCAGCAGGCGCGAAAACUUUACAAUGCGGGAAACCGUGAUAAGGGAACACCGAGUGCCAGCAUCAUAUGCUGGCUGUCCAGAUGUGUAAACUACAUCUGUUAGCAAGGGCCGGGCAAGACCGGUGCCAGCCGCCGCGGUAACACCGGCGGCCCGAGUGGUGACCGUUAUUAUUGGGUCUAAAGGGUCCGUAGCCGGUUUGGUCAGUCCUCCGGGAAAUCUGAUAGCUCAACUAUUAGACUUUCGGGGGAUACUGCCAGGCUUGGAACCGGGAGAGGUAAGAGGUACUACAGGGGUAGGAGUGAAAUCCUGUAAUCCUCGAGGGACCACCUGUGGCGAAGGCGCCUCACCAGAACGGCUUCGACAGUGAGGGACGAAAGCUGGGGGAGCAAACCGGAUUAGAUACCCGGGUAGUCCCAGCCGUAAACUAUGCGCGUUAGGUGUAUCGGUGACCACGAGUUACCGAGGUGCCGAAGGGAAACCGUGAAACGUGCCGCCUGGGAAGUACGGUCGCAAGGCUGAAACUUAAAGGAAUUGGCGGGGGAGCAC
rnacentral:rRNA from 1 species